rnacentral:rRNA from 1 species
AUUGAACGCUGGCGGCAGGCUUAACACAUGCAAGUCGAACGAGUGGCGGACGGGUGAGUAAUGCUUGGGAAUCUAGCUUAUGGAGGGGGAUAACUACGGGAAACUGUAGCUAAUACCGCGUACCAUAGGAUGAGCCCAAGUGGGAUUAGGUAGUUGGUGAGGUAAAGGCUCACCAAGCCGACGAUCUCUAGCUGGUCUGAGAGGAUGACCAGCCACACUGGGACUGAGACACGGCCCAGACUCCUACGGGAGGCAGCAGUGGGGAAUAUUGCACAAUGGGCGCAAGCCUGAUGCAGCCAUGCCGCGUGUAUGAAGAAGGCCUUAGGGUUGUAAAGUACUUUCAGCGGGGAGGCGUUACCCGCAGAAGAAGCACCGGCUAACUCCGUGCCAGCAGCCGCGGUAAUAC